CGCGUAGGUGGCUUCUCAAGCGCGCGGUGAAAGCCCGGGGCUCAACCCCGGGUCGGCCGUGCGGACUGGGAGGCUCGAGCACUGUAGGGGCGGGUGGAAUUCCGGGUGUAGCGGUGGAAUGCGUAGAGAUCCGGAAGAACACCGGUGGCGAAGGCGGCCCGCUGGGCAGGAAGGCUCGCAAGAGCCGGCUGACACUGAGGCGCGACAGCGUGGGGAGCAAACA
rnacentral:rRNA from 1 species